CAGGAAGUGACCAGAGACAGAGAACAGGUGCUGACAGGAAGUGACCAGAGACAGAGAACAGGAAGUGACCAGAGACAGAGAACAGGUGCUGACAGGAAGUGAACAGAGACAGAGAACAGGUGCUGACAGGAAGUGACCAGAGACAGAGGACAGGUGCUGACAGGAAGUGACCAGAGACAGAGAACAGGUGCUGACAGGAAGUGACCAGAGACAGAGAACAGGUGCUGACAGGAAGUGACCAGAGACAGAGAACAGGAAGUGACCAGAGACAGAGCACAGGAAGUGACCAGAGGCAGAGCACAGGUGCUGACAGGAAAUGACCAGAGGCA